rnacentral:rRNA from 1 species
AACGAACGCUGGCGGCAUGCCUAACACAUGCAAGUCGAACGAGACCUUCGGGUCUAGUGGCGCACGGGUGCGUAACGCGUGGGAACCUGCCCUUAGGUUCGGAAUAACUCCCCGAAAGGGGUGCUAAUACCGGAUAAUGUCUUCGGACCAAAGAUUUAUCGCCUUUGGAUGGGCCCGCGUUGGAUUAGCUAGUUGGUAGGGUAAAAGCCUACCAAGGCGACGAUCCAUAGCUGGUCUGAGAGGAUGAUCAGCCACACUGGGACUGAGACACGGCCCAGACUCCUACGGGAGGAAGCAGUGGGGAAUAGUGAACAAGGGGCGAAAGCCUGAUCCAGCAAGGCCGCGUGAGUGAUGAAGGCCUUAGGGUUGUAAAGCUCUUUUACCAGGGAGGAUAAUGACAGUACCGGGAGAAUAAGCUCCGGCUAACUCCGUG